AUGGAAGAAGAUCAGGUUAAAUUAGCAGCACUCAUCGCAGAGCUAGAGGAGCCAAUAGGUCUUUGUGACUUGCCAGCAAUUGACCCUCCUAAUACUAAGAGAAAGAAGGGAAGGGCAAUAAAGAAUUUUUCUGAGUGGAUAGAGAAAGAGGCUCCAGUGAAUUGGUCUUUGCUGCAUGACACCCAUGGAUCUAGGUAUGGUCACAUGACAACCAAUCUUGCAGAUGUGUAUAACUUUGUGCUGAGAGGGAAUAGAGCAUUGCCACUCACAGCUAUUGUGGAGGCUAUAUUCCAUGGCACUUUGAGAUAUUUCAGAGAAAGGCACGAGUUAGCAAAGAAGCAUAUUGAAGAUAAUCACAACACACCUUAUUGUAGCCGUGUCAUGGAAUACAUGGCAAAGAAGCACAGUGUCAGACUCAUAGGGAAUCAAGAAAGGAGGUAUGAGGUUCAGCUUCCUACCGAUGGUUUUGGUUCUGGACAUGAGGUGAAGACACACGAGGUAAAAAUUGAAACGGAAUUUUAUCCAACGUGUGAGUGUACAUGCAACAAACCGAAGUUGUUGCACCUACCUUGCUCUCAUGUGUUGGUUGUCUGUGGCCAGAUUGAGUUGGAUGCUAUCUCCUUUGUGUCCCCAUACUAUUUAAAAGAGGCAGUCCUCAACACAUGGACAGGUGAGAUGACAGGGUUUACAGUUGUCGGCAAUUUCAACAAGGUAAACGACGGUGAGAGAGUAUACAUCCCGCAUCCAGACCUUUGGCAAACAAGUAGGGGCAGAUGA
rnacentral:rRNA from 1 species